UACGUAGGGGGCAAGCGUUUGUCCGGAUUUAUUGGGCGUAAAGAGCUCGUAGGCGGUUUGGUAAGUCUGGUGUGAAAUCUCCACGCUCAACGUGGAGGGGCCACCCGAUACUGCCAUGACUGGAGUCCGGUAGAGGAGUGUGGAAUUCCCGGUGUAGCGGUGAAAUGCGCAGAUAUCGGGAGGAACACCCGUAGCGAAGGCGGCACUCUGGGCCGGUACUGACGCUGAGGAGCGAAAGCGUGGGGAGCAAACAGGG
rnacentral:rRNA from 1 species